rnacentral:lncRNA from 1 species
AGAUGGGGCGCCGGUCAUCAGACACUGAGGAAGAAAGCAGAAGCAAGAGAAAAAAGAAACACCGGAGACGCUCCUCUUCAAGCAGUUCUUCAGACAGCAGGACGUACAGCCGUAAGAAGGGCGGGAGGCGGCCAAGGUCCGAGUCCAGGUCCUGGUCUAGAGACCGUCAGCCUCGCUCCCAUUCUUAUGAGAGAAGACGCAGGCACAGGUCAAGCAGCAGCUCUUCCUAUGGCUCCCGAAGAAAACGAAGCCGAAGUCGGUCCAGGGGUCGAGGGAAGUCCUAUAGAGUUCAGCGGUCUCGGUCCAAAAGCAGAACAAGAAGGUAUGCCUGUUGGUACUUACUGCUUUUAACAGACUUUCUAGACCAGUGCCACACAGCAGCAGUAGAAGGCAAUUCAGCUUUUCUCGG